GUGUCAGCAGCCGCGGUAAUACGUAGGUGGCAAGCGUUGUCCGGAAUUAUUGGGCGUAAAGCGCGCGCAGGUGGUUCUUUAAGUCUGAUGUGAAAGCCCCCGGCUCAACCGGGGAGGGUCAUUGGAAACUGGGGAACUUGAGUGCAGAAGAGGAUAGUGGAAUUCCAAGUGUAGCGGUGAAAUGCGUAGAGAUUUGGAGGAACACCAGUGGCGAAGGCGACUGUCUGGUCUGUAACUGACACUGAGGCGCGAAAGCGUGGGGAGCAAACAGGAUUAGAAACCCCUGUAGUCC
rnacentral:rRNA from 1 species